rnacentral:rRNA from 1 species
CAGCAGCCGCGGUAAUACCGGCGGCCCGAGUGGCGGCCACUAUUAUUGGGCCUAAAGCGUCCGUAGCCGGGCUGGUAAGUCCUCCGGGAAAUCUGGUCGCUUAACGAUCAGACUUCCGGAGGAUACUGCUGGCCUAGGGACCGGGAGAGGCCGAGGGUAUUCCCGGGGUAGGGGUGAAAUCCUAUAAUCCCGGGAGGACCACCUGUGGCGAAGGCGCUCGGCUGGAACGGGUCCGACGGUGAGGGACGAAGGCCAGGGGAGCAAACCGGAUUAGAUACCCGGGUAGUCCUGGCUGUAAACGAUGCGGACUUUGUGUCGGACAAGCUAUGAGCUUGUCCGGUGCCGGAGGGAAACCGUUAAGUCCGCCGCCUGGGGAGUACGGCCGCAAGGCUGAAACUUAAAGGAAUUGGCGGG